GUGAACGCUGGCGGUAGGCCUAACACAUGCAAGUCGAACGGCAGCACAGUAAGAGCUUGCUCUUACGGGUGGCGAGUGGCGGACGGAUGAGGAAUACAUCGGAAUCUACUUUUUCGUGGGGGAUAACGUAGGGAAACUUACGCUAAUACCGCAUACGACCUACGGGUGAAAGCAGGGGAUCUUCGGACCUUGCGCGAUUGAAUGAGCCGAUGUCGGAUUAGCUAGUUGGCGGGGUAAAGGCCCACCAAGGCGACGAUCCGUAGCUGGUCUGAGAGGAUGAUCAGCCACACUGGAACUGAGACACGGUCCAGACUCCUACGGGAGGCAGCAGUGGGGAAUAUUGGACAAUGGGCGCAAGCCUGAUCCAGCCAUACCGCGUGGGUGAAGAAGGCCUUCGGGUUGUAAAGCCCUUUUGUUGGGAAAGAAAAGCAGCAGGUUAAUACCCCGCUGUUCUGACGGUACCCAAAGAAUAAGCACCGGCUAACUUCGUG
rnacentral:rRNA from 1 species